rnacentral:rRNA from 1 species
ACCCUACGGGACGCAGCAGUAGGGAAUUUUCGUCAAUGGGCGCAAGCCUGAACGAGCAAUGCCGCGUGAACGAGGAAGGUCUUCGGAUCGUAAAGUUCUGUUGAAGGGGAAAAAGAGCGGAGAGAGGAAAUGGUCUCCGAUUGAUAUUACCCUUCGAGGAAGUCACGGCUAACUACGUGCCAGCAGCCGCGGUAAUACGUAGGUGGCGAGCGUUAUCCGGAAUGAUUGGGCGUAAAGGGUGCGUAGGCGGCCUGCUAAGUCUGGAGUGAAAGGUACCGGCUCAACUCCGGGACUGCUUUUGAAAC